GGGCACAUGGGGCGUGCCUAUACUGCAAGUCGAACGAACUUCCGUUAAUUGAUUAUGACGUGCUUGCACUGAAUGAGAUUUUAACACGAAGUGAGUGGCGGACGGGUGAGUAACACGUGGGUAACCUGCCCAGAAGCAGGGGAUAACACCUGAGAAACAGAUGCUAAUACCGUUAUAACAGAAGAAAACCGCCUGGUUUUCUUUUAAAAGAUGGCUCUGCUAUCACUUCUGGAUGGACCCGCGGCGCAUUAGCUAGUUGGUGAGGUAACGGCUCACCAAGGCGAUGAUGCGUAGCCGACCUGAGAGGGUAAUCGGCCACAUUGGGACUGAGACACGGCCCAGACUCCUACGGGAGGCAGCAGUAGGGAAUCUUCCACAAUGGACGCAAGUCUGAUGGAGCAACGCCGCGUGAGUGAAGAAGGGUUUCGGCUCGUAAAGCUCUGUUGUUAAAGAAGAACGUGGGUGAGAGUAACUGUUCACCCAGUGACGGUAUUUAACCAGAAAGCCACGGCUAACUACGUGCCAGCAGCCGCGGUAAUACGUAGGUGGCAAGCGUUAUCCGGAUUUAUUGGGCGUAAAGCGAGCGCAGGCGGUCUUUUAAGUCUAAUGUGAAAGCCUUCGGCUCAACCGAAGAAGUGCAUUGGAAACUGGGAGACUUGAGUGCAGAAGAGGACAGUGGAACUCCAUGUGUAGCGGUGAAAUGCGUAGAUAUAUGGGAAGAACACCAGGUGGCGGAGGGCGGGCUGUCUUGUUCUGUAACCUGACGCCCGGGGGCUCCAAAAGCAUGGGGUAGCCGAACAAGGAUUAAAAUACCCCUGGUUGGUCCCUGGCCGGUAAACCGAAUGAUUUC
rnacentral:rRNA from 1 species